UCCCAUUCUCAAUAAUCCAAGCAGCCUCGUUUUCAGGCAUGGGGGUGGGGGAAGGCUCCAGGCUCCUCAACGCUCUCUCAGUGGCGGGGAGGGGGGGUUCCCCCCAGCCUUUGCCCCUCACACACUCUCUCGCAUUGCCUCUCCACCAUAAAACAAAAACUAACCCAAGCUGCUUUGACUUCAGGCGCUGGGCCGGCCACAGGGAGGCCCUCGAAGAGUCAGCAGCUCUGCGGGACAGAUGGUCUUGUAGGUGGUGAGGAGAGGUCCCAUUAACUCCCCAGGCCCCCUCAUAUCUCAGUUCACCGCCCCCCCCCCAUAAAACAAAAGCGAACCCAGCAGCACCGACCUCAAAGAGGAGGGAGGGCUGUCAGCGCUCGGUAGCGCAACCAGCUCCUCCGGGCUCCUCACUGCCCCGGCUUUCCCGCGGUGGCUCUUGCGGUGCUGGCGGCGGCUGCAGCGGCGGCAACAGCUACCGCGGCUCUUGCGUCCGGAGGCUUCCUCGGACUCAGCACCUGGAGCGGCGAACAGCUCCGCGCCUCACUCCGCUGGCUCCGCCUCCUCUGCCCCGCCGUAGCCAAUGGCGAUCCUAUCUCCGCCCAGGAGGCCGCCCACUGAUGGGAGGGCCUUCUCCUCUCUCUUCCCCCCCAGCCAGCUGGGUUCUCCGAGUCUUCGUCGUGACCGCGUCCCCGUGAGACUGCCAGAGUUUUCCCACAGCCCUCUGGAACUCGUAGUCCUUUAAGAACGCGGAGGGGGCUUAUGUCGCGGGUGGGUAACCGAAGGUGGACUGCAUUUCCCAGGAUGCAUGAAGAAACUGAGGCGCUGAGGAGGGCGGGAGGACUGUUUCCAUAGCAAAGGCGGCUGGUUGGGGAUGGCUGACAGAGAAAUGAAAUGGGGCAGGCCGCGGUACCCUCGGAUUGUGCGUGACUUUGGACAGCCUCUUGGGAGGGCGUUUCGAUUUUUUUUUUUUUUUUUCUCCUCGAUGCCCACCACAGGACUCUGGGCCUCAGUUUUCCUAUCUGAGAAGAAGGGCGUGGAUCCGUACCCCUGCCCACAGUCCGCAGUGAUGGGGCAAACCGAGGUCGAGCCGCUUUGGUUUGCCCAGCAAAGGCUCUACAGGUGUUGAGGUGACAAUGGGUCCCAAUGUCUCCCACAUGACCCCAGUUCUGUUCGUGAAGCAGCAGAGCCCACCCGCCAGAUGGUACAGAAACUCUCUUCCUUGGCUGCCCAUCUCUGCAAGUAUGUGGCCAGACUAGAAUGUUCAAUCCCAGGUAAGUCUGGCAGGCCCAGAGGCCAAGGCACUGUCCCGCCCAUAAGUGUCUACAGUGGUAUGUCAUCAGCCUCAGCAGCUGGUUCAUAUGAAGUUUAAAAUUGGCUGAGAUUGUAAGACCUUCUUUAAGUGACCUUUAGCCCAACCUAGUUCCUUACCUCACACUUGUGCAGUUGAUCUUUUAAACCUGAAAACAAGGCUUUGCUGUUCUCCCUAUUUUAUAUCUGUGUAUUGGUAGGGAAGCUGCCUGGGUCACACUCCUGCUGUCUAAAAUUGGGAUAAUAAGAGUCAUUCUGACAACUUUAGGUGUCAGUGUGAUGAUUGAGUAUAAUGCAAAGUUGGACAUUUGUCACUCACUUUGGCUGCC
ensembl:lincRNA